rnacentral:rRNA from 1 species
UACGAAGGGGGCUAGCGUUGCUCGGAAUUACUGGGCGUAAAGCGCGCGUAGGCGGCUUUGCAAGUCAGAGGUGAAAGCCUGGAGCUCAACUCCAGAACUGCCUUUGAAACUGCAUCGCUAGAAUCAUGGAGAGGUUAGUGGAAUUCCGAGUGUAGAGGUGAAAUUCGUAGAUAUUCGGAAGAACACCAGUGGCGAAGGCGACUAACUGGACAUGUAUUGACGCUGAGGUGCGAAAGCGUGGGGAGCAAACAGG